AUUGAACGCUGGCGGCAGGCUUAACACAUGCAAGUCGAACGAGUGGCGGACGGGUGAGUAAUGCUUGGGAAUCUAGCUUAUGGAGGGGGAUAACUACGGGAAACUGUAGCUAAUACCGCGUACCAUAGGAUGAACCCAUAUGGGAUUAGCUAGUAGGUGGGGUAAAGGCUCACCUAGGCGACGAUCUCUAGCUGGUCUGAGAGGAUGAUCAGCCACACUGGGACUGAGACACGGCCCAGACUCCUACGGGAGGCAGCAGUGGGGAAUAUUGCACAAUGGGCGCAAGCCUGAUGCAGCCAUGCCGCGUGUAUGAAGAAGGCCUUCGGGUUGUAAAGUACUUUCAGCGAGGAGGCGUUACUCGCAGAAGAAGCACCGGCUAACUCCGUGCCAGCCGCCGCGGUAAUAC
rnacentral:rRNA from 1 species